UAACAGUCGGUCUCCCUGGCUGUUUUCUGAGUGCCCGUGUGGCAAUAAACGUUUCUCUGCUGAAUGCCUCCUCCACAGGACACGGAGCACUAAAAAGGGACAACAAAAAAAACAUCGUUCAGUAGACUGGUCAGCCUGUAAUGAAAAGAAGCACGAAUUAUAUAGCAUAAGAACUAAAGCAAUGAAGAUUUGCAGAUUGAUGAACAGAGAGAUACAAGGUCCAAUCCGGUGAGAUGCUGUGAGCUCUUAUAGAAGGUCAACACCUUACAGGAUGAACUCCCAUGUGAGCUGGGGUCACACAUGCAAUUCAUUCACAGUACCAGGAAGAGUAUCCAGAAUAUGUGACUCUAAGACCUAUGCUCUACAUGGGAAAAGAGUUAGAAUCAUAGACUCAUAGGACUGGAAGGGACCUUGAGAGGUCAUCUAGUCCAGUCCCCUGCA